GACGAACGCUGGCAGCGUGCUUAACACAUGCAAGUCGAACGAUGAAGGAGAGCUUGCUCUUCGGAUUAGUGGCGAACGGGUGAGUAACACGUGACUAACCUGCCCCUUUCUCUGGGAUAACGCUCCGAAAGGAGUGCUAAUACCGGAUACUCACAUCGAGGCACAUGCCUUGAUGUGGAAAGUUUUUCGGAAAGGGAUGGAGUCGCGGCCUAUCAGCUUGUUGGUGAGGUAACGGCUCACCAAGGCGACGACGGGUAGCCGGCCUGAGAGGGCGACCGGCCACACUGGGACUGAGACACGGCCCAGACCCCUACGGGAGGCAGCAGUGGGGAAUAUUGCACAAUGGGCGAAAGCCUGAUGCAGCGACGCCGCGUGAGGGAUGAAGGUCUUCGGAUUGUAAACCUCUUUCAGUAGGGACGAAGCGAAAGUGACGGUACCUAAAGAAGAAGCACCGGCUAACUACGUGCCAGCCGCCGCCGUAA
rnacentral:rRNA from 1 species